rnacentral:rRNA from 1 species
AUUGAACGCUGGCGGCAUGCCUUACACAUGCAAGUCGAACGGUAACAGGUCUUCGGAUGCUGACGAGUGGCGAACGGGUGAGUAAUACAUCGGAACGUGCCCGAGAGUGGGGGAUAACGAAGCGAAAGCUUUGCUAAUACCGCAUACGAUCUCAGGAUGAAAGCAGGGGACCGCAAGGCCUUGCGCUCACGGAGCGGCCGAUGGCAGAUUAGGUAGUUGGUGGGAUAAAAGCUUACCAAGCCGACGAUCUGUAGCUGGUCUGAGAGGACGACCAGCCACACUGGGACUGAGACACGGCCCAGACUCCGACGGGAGGCAGCAGUGGGGAAUUUUGGACAAUGGGCGCAAGCCUGAUCCAGCCAUGCCGCGUGCAGGAAGAAGGCCUUCGGGUUGUAAACUGCUUUUGUACGGAACGAAACGGUCCUGGUUAAUACCUGGGGCUAAUGACGGUACCGUAAGAAUAAGCACCGGCUAACUACGUGCCAGCAGCCGCGGUAAUAC